GACGAACGCUGGCGGCGUGCUUAACACAUGCAAGUCGAACGGUAAGGCCCUUCGGGGUACACGAGUGGCGAACGGGUGAGUAACACGUGGGUGAUCUGCCCUGCACUUCGGGAUAAGCCUGGGAAACUGGGUCUAAUACCGGAUAGGACCCUGGGAUGCAUGUCCUGGGGUGGAAAGCUUUUGCGGUGUGGGAUGGGCCCGCGGCCUAUCAGCUUGUUGGUGGGGUGAUGGCCUACCAAGGCGAGGACGGGUAGCCGGCCUGAGGGGGUGACCGGCCACACUGGGACUGGGAUACGGCCCAGACUCCUACGGGAGGCAGCAGUGGGGAAUAUUGCACAAUGGGCGCAAGCCUGAUGCAGCGACGCCGCGUGAGGGAUGACGGCCUUCGGGUUGUAAACCUCUUUCAGCACCGACGAAGCGCAAGUGACGGUAGGUGCAGAAGAAGGACCGGCCAACUACGUGCCAGCCGCCGCGGUAA
rnacentral:rRNA from 1 species